rnacentral:ncRNA from 1 species
AGUUCCACUUGCUGGAGUCUGGGACAGUCGCGUUCUGAGAUCAUACGGUUUAACUUGAUCUGGAUAAUACCAGCGAAAGGAUUAUGCGAUCUCUUCUC